UAAUUAAUUAAUUAAUUUCCCGGCCAAAAAGUAAAAGCGUGCUACUUUUCAAUUUUACGGUUUUGCCCCUAGUAGCCUUGCGACUUCGGACAAAUCAUUGUGUCUACUUGUCCCAUCACCAGAGGAAGCGCUUUAAAUUUUCCAAAAAUAUUAUAUUUUACUAAAUUAUUUACAGUUAUACAAAAACUAAUUUAAAUCUAAAAAAUUAAUAAUAUGUAUUGUAAAAAUUUUAUUAGCAAUAGCAUACAAACUCAGCUUCGUAAAGAAAAUAUUUUGAACACUUAAAAAAGCAUAAUGUGGUACAGCAAAGAGUAGAAUUAUCUCCUUUCGUACAACAAUCACUAUAAAAUAUUAGAAAACUUUGGCUACAGUUAUUACAGCUAUUUUAGAAUAUCAAACAAAAGUUAAAAAAAAAAACAUUUGCUUGCUCACAAUAAUUCUAUUUUGAUUGGUUCGUGCCUUCGCUUUAAUCAUGAAAUAUUGCAUUGUACACCCUUAAAUAAAUUAUAAAUUUUAUAUCUUGCUUAUUUAAAAGCUAAUUAUUUUUUAUAAUACCCAAAACUCCAAAAAAUAAUAACAAUAAUAACUCUUCCUACAGGAUGUCUGUAGACGCAGCAUAUUUCACACUACAGCAUUUUUCACUUUAAAAAAUAUGGAAAAACUUCAAAAAAAAACCUCCUGUAGUUUCGUAAUUUCUCACUUUGCCCCCUAUAGUUUAAAAUGUAUCAAUUUGCCUCCCUGUGGUUUCGUUUUUAUCUUUUCGAUUGUUUUUUCGUUAAUAUUUCGUUAAAUUAUAUAUAAAAAACUUCAUAUACCCAUCUAGAUUUAUCAAACAUUCACUUUAGUACCCUUUAAUUUUAAUUUUAUUACUGAUUUAAAAAAAAUAAUAAUAAAAUUGAUAAGAAAAAGAGAAAAACAAAACCACAGGGAGGGCAAAUUGACACAUUUUAAACGACAGAGGGGCAAAGUGAGAAACUACGAAACCACAGGGGGGUUUUUUAAGUUUUCCCAAAAAAUAUUAUUAUAUAUUGUAUAAAAUUGACACUUUUCAUCCUAAAAUUUACAAAGAAUUUUUAAAAAAUUAGUUUAAAAAAUUUUAGAAAAGGGCUUAGACUAGAUAAAAUUUUUGAAUAAAUGAAGUGCAAGAUGUCCACCUAGUCUAGAGAUAUUACAGAUCUCAUUGCUCUUUCACUCUAAUGAGUCAUAUAAAUUUUACAUUCUAUUCGUCUAAAAAUUAAAAUUUUUUUAAUAAUUUUAUCAAUUAUUUUAUAAUACUAAAAAUUUAAAAAAUUUAAAUUUUUUAAAGUUCUGAUAAGAUUCAUAUCCUAACUUGGCGACGGAAAGUAAAAAUCAGGUUGAAGUAGAUUUCUGAGUGAAAUAAACACAAAAAUAUAUAUAAAUUAUUUCCUAAAAAUAAACAAGGAAUACAAGAUAAACCCCCUACACCCGGUGCACGCAAGUUUUUCCAAUGGUAAGUCUCGGAGAGAAAAUCGGAUCGGGUGGCAUACCUCAUUUUUCACGCUAUCCAUCAUCACCAACAUCUCUUGCAUGAAGUCCGUGAAAUCCUGACCGUCCAAAACAACAUUACAUGACCAAAUAAAAAAAAUAAAAAAAAAACACAAUAAAAAUCUCCCCCCCCCCCCCCCCACACCAACUUAUUACAAAACAAAACCAAAAAAUACUAAUAUUCCCGAAAAUGCAACCAAAAAAAAAAGGAAAAAGAAAAAGAAAAAGAAAAAGAAAAAGAAAUUAAUUGUGAGAGAAAUUAACGAAUAUCGCGCCUGACGCUGGUCGUCGCCAUCCAAGGGGUCGAAGAUCCCCGCGUCGUACAUCGCCGCGUUCCCCUUUGUCGGAAGAACUACCACACACACCGCACACCAUGUAUAAUAACCCGUUAGCCGCCGUUACCAAGAAAACGGCAACUCGUAUCGGCGUCGGAAGUGCACUCACCGGAAUACGCCUCCUGAUCCGCUGGAACCCGCCGCUUCGCCUCCGCCGCCCGCGUCGGAUCUUCGCCCACCGAUCCGGUGCCACUUCUACGCUCCCCCCGCACAAAAAACACACAACCCCGGAAAAAUCACCAAAAAUCCCCAAAAAUUAUACCUCAAAAAUCCGAGAACGGGGGAGAGAGUGAGAGAGGGGGGGGGGGGGGGGGGGGGGGGGGAGUACCAGGGCGAGCUUGCGGUACGCGGAGCGGAUGUCGGCGCCGGAGGCGUUCUUGCGGAUCCCGAGGAGGGAGUAGUAGCAGGAUCCGUUGGAUCCGCCCCCGUCGCCGUCCAUCGCCGCGGGAUCGAACGGUGGGGAUCGCCGCAGGAGCCUCGAUCGCGAUCCCGAUGAGGACGCAGAGGAGGAGGAGGGAACUGCCACUGGUUUUGGGCUUAUUUACGAAAAGGGGAUUCCGCUACGCACGUGGUCUGGUUCAGGAGGUGGUGUCGUGUCGGGAAACGGCAGUUGAGGUCGACUCGAUCCGAGACUUUUGACCUAAUUAUUUAAAAAUAAAUUACCACGUGUAUAUAUAUAUAUAUAUAUAUAUAAAAUAUUUUUUUUCUAAAAUUUAAUAAAAUUUAAUUAGAAAAUAAUUAAUAAGACUAAAGAAAAAAAGACUUUUUGAAAAAAUUAUUAAAAAUACUAUUUCGUAAGAGCUUAAUUUUUUUGUGUAGUGCUAGAAUGAAUUAUAUAAUUAUAUUAUUAGUUUUUGUUAGCAGAAGACGUCCUACGUUAUAUUUGGUUCAGAUGCCAGACAAAAAUGUAAACUGACAGGUGGAGAAAUAUCUAAUAUUAUAUAUAUAUAAUACGUAGACCGAAGUUCUAAUUCAAUCCAAAAGCUGAAACGGAUAUGUAGAGAAAAACACUGACUUCUAAGUUGUAUCUAAUACGAAACUAAUAUUCUUUAACAAUAGAAAUGUGGGUUAAGAAUAAUAACUAGGCAUGCUAAUCAAAUUUUAUUUGGAACUAAACGCGUGAAGUUUCAAAAUUUCGAGUCACAUACUGCUGUUUGAGGACUAAAAUAAAACUCAUAGCCAAACAACGCGAGCAGUAGAUUACGAGGCCCGACCCGCUCGCAUCAAAUAAAUUGGUCUCGAGCCUAAUUCUAAAACUCUUGGCCUAAGCCGGUAAAAUUUGAAUAGCUGUCGGGCUCGGUUGGACUGAGCCUUUCUCAGUUGAAGUAAGCCCAACCUCCAUAACAAGUUGGAAUAAAGUGGUUAUAUUUGUCGCGUGUUUAGCCCGGCAUCUGGUUCUACUUACAACAUCAGCUUUUUGUCUUUGUGAAUAACAAAAAUAACUCUGUUACCAGCAAUUCUCCUUUCUGUUCAAAUAAUUUGAAGAAUCACAGUGCUUCUAGGAAACUAGUCCAAACAAUAAUAAAGCAGAGUAUCGUCGAGCUCGCUCGCUAUCAAAACUAUGAUAUGUUUAUUUUAUCGAAACCAUCCACUGAGGACUCUCACCAGUUACUGGAAAUCAGCAUCGCUCGCCUAGCAAUGAGAACGGUUGCACGGGGGGUCGACUGUGGGCACGAUAACUGGUACACCAGAGAUCUGUCCUUCUCAGUCCUCUUGUAUUAGGGAAAGGUCCUCUCAAUGCUCUACCGCCCGCACCGGAUAUGGGCCGAACUGUCUCACGACGUUCUAAACACAGCUCACGUACCACCUUAAUGGGCGAACAAAAUGGACAGUUCAAGCGAUUAUUCCGUGUUUGAUGUGCACAUUUCCGCCUUGAUGUCAAAAAUGGGCCUAACUAAAAAUGGGCUUCAGCUAUGUAUUCUUGUUUUUAUUUUUCUAUUAGUUGAUUAGGAUUAGGCCUAAUUGAGUUCAAUUUGGGCCUUCGUAUGUCACAUAUUGGAUUUGGUGGUGCCUAAAUAACACACUAUUGAUCAAAAUAUAAGUAUAAUUAUGCGCCAGUGCAACCAACCGUCCCUAGAGCAAGUGGCAAAAGGCUUAGUGGUUGAUACUCGAGACUCAAGUUUGAAUCCAAGUUGAUUCACAUUUCUAGCUAAGUUUAUUUCUAAAUGAAAUAAACGAAACGGGUAGCGUGCUAUCUCUCAAAAAAAAUUAUGCUCAAGUGCAACUGCGCUAACUAGAGAUUAAUCUAUUUAGGUAUCCAAAUUAGUAUGUUUAUCUUUGUUGAAUGUAAAAUAUAAAAAAUAUUGUUCUCAAAAAGCUUUCAAUUUUAGAUAAUCAAAGAUUUCAUACUAUUUUAAAGACGAAUUUCAAAUCAUUAUUUUUUAUUAUAAAAAUAUUAUUAAUACGUAACGAACUGGACGACUAACACUAAUAAGUCUAACAUUAAUAACUCGUUAGACUCCAAACCACCAAUCUAAAAUAUUUAAAUACAAUUAUUAUUGUUAAAUUCUUUGCUUCUAAUAUAACCCUUUAUACCGGAUAUAUGAAAUUUUUGGGGCUUUAUAUUCUCUCCAUGCAAGUGUUAUUAUUAUUUUUCUUCACUCAAGAGUGUAAAUUUGAGGCCUCAUUUCAUAUUUCAUAUAUUCGUCAAGCAUCGAAUAAAUCCGUUCUGUUUAGAUUCGAAUUUGGAUAAAAUUUUUAAUAUCUGUACCCAUUGACAUCCUAAUUUCACUGUCCUUGCGGCAACUUCCAAAGUUUAGGAAAUAUACGCUACAAGUGAUUGUUUGUUACUACAUAAUUAAACUCUUUAGUUGACAUUAUUACUGAUUGGAUUCAAAUGCAACUCAUAAAAUAGCUAAACCAACAUUAUUUUUUUAGAAAAGUAAACUUACAAUCAAGUUACUUAGAAAUAUUUGUCUAAGGUAUGGCACAAUGUAUGAAUUAAAAUCCUUUGUAGUCUAAGUUGAGCAACCAUUAGUUUUUUUAUUUUUUGAACUAAAAUGCAGAAGCGUGAGUUGUCGCAUUGACUAUGCGAUUGAAUCUCACAGUUUUUUCACAUUUGAGUCCGAUUUUGACGACAUAACCCGCAAAAUGCACGAUGUCAAGUUCCUGUAACUCACAAGAACAAUAGGGUUACGUUUUGAACAAAACAAGCAUGCACAAAUCCUCCAAAGACAAAAAAAAAAAGAAGAGAUUAUUAUUUAUAUUAGAAGAGUUGCACCCAUUAUUCUUGUUAAUAUUUAGCUGGCGUGAACUCGUAUCGCACGUAUUCAAUAAACAAGCACUGCUACUUAUACACUUUCAAAAAAAGUACACACCUUAUGUCCCUUAUUCAAGAGAAAAUAUAAUCUUUAUACUGUUAUUUUUAAACAAAUAUAUAAUUUUGAAAACUUUGGAAUGAAACAGUGUAAUAUGUACACCCUCAUAUGAAGUGCGCGGAUAGUUUUUUUAAAAAAAGAAAAAAAAAUCCUCCGUAUUUUUUUUACCAUGUCCUUUUCUUUUGAUUCUGUCAAUCUGUAUUUUUUUUUUAUUUAGUCAAUUUUUUUUUUCACAAAUAGUCCUAAUAAAUAUAUAUUUAUAUAAGGCUAAAUUAUAGAAAACUCUCCUGUAAUAAUCCAUUUUUUUACUUUCCCUCCAUGAUAUUUAAAAAACUACAUUUUGCCCUCUUGUAAAAUAAAAAAUAUGCACUUCAUCCCCUACCAUUAGGGUUCCGUUAUAAAAUAUUUUUUUAUUCCGAAAAUACUCAUCCGCCCUCUUCCUUGUUGCUUCGCCUCCUUCCAGCUCGCCGCCUCACCGCCUCGCCGUCCUCCACUGCCUCGCCCUCGCCCACAUCCCCUUCGCCCUCCUCCGCCGCCUCGCUUUCGCCCUCGUUGCCUUUGCCUACCUCUCCAUCAACACCCAUCUCGAUUUCCUCCCUACUAUCAUCGAAAUCGAGAGGUGGUGAGGGUGCAGGAGGAGAAGCGGAGCAGGUGGAGAAGGAAAUGGAGAGAUAUCGCGGCCGAUUGAGGUGGGAAUCGCGGCCGAUCGAAGGGGCGGCUGAGGAAGAUAAGGAAGAAGACGAAAAUGGUGAUGGGCAAAAUGGUCAUUUUACACACCGUAACCUCUCUGUGAACAUUUUUCAUUUUAUAAGGGGACAAAAUGUAGGUUUUUAAAUGUCAUUGAGAGAAAGUAAAAAAACGGGUUAUUACAGGGAGGUUUUCUGUAAUUUAGUUUUUAUAUAAAUAGCUCUUUUCUUGUCACGCAAGAGUUGAAGUGGUAUUUUUAAGUCGAACACGGCGAUUCAAUCACCCUGUUUAAAUAAGAUAUUUUCUUUUAUAUUUUUUUUUGUCCCUAAGUAAAAAAAAAAAAGAGGAUUUGGAGUGUGUAUAUGAAUACGAUGAUUCAAUCACCGCACUCAACUUAAAAAUACAAACGUGACGCUCACGUGGCAAGUAGAGGUCAAAUGUUCAAAUAUAAAUUUGUUAAGGUAAUUUGUAAAAUUUUUAUUUUGGGAGGGGCCUAAAUCCCAAUCAAUUUUGCUCAUCGACACGUGUCCCACACAAUACACGAGAUGUACCAAAUUGGUCCGAUCUGGACAUGCAGCGGAUCCCGGGGGUUCCGGCGGAGAGACUUUUCCCGCCAAAAGCCACCCCUCCUCCCGAAGCGGGCGACAGGCUGGCGACGGCACACGGCAUCUGCUGGCGACUUCACGACUCUCGAGACAAAUCAGAGUGAGGCUGCGAGCACAGAAGGAAAGCUGGCUUGGGUACUUCAAAGUUCAAAAUGGUGUCCUUAUUAACCCUAUAUAAAAAGUCUGUCAGGGAUUGCACGCCUGUAACUAAUUUUAAUUUGAAGAAAAAAAAAAAUUUGUGUGUUUAUUUCAGUCUAUUAAGUUGGAAAAAUAAAAUAAAAUAUUAAUAAUUAAAAAAAUUUAACUUUUGAAUUAUUUACUUUUCGCUAAAUAAAUAAUAAAUGCCAAAAAAAUAGUUCAACAGGUGUAAACAUAAGGGUUAAAUGUAUUCAUGUUCUCGUAAAUAUAGUAAAUUAUAAAUAUAUUCUUAUAAAAUUUAACUUUCAUAUAUUAUUUUUCUCUGAUUUGUUAUCGUUAUAAAACUAUUUAUAUUUUAAGUAAAAUGUCAAUUUUGUCAUCACAAAUAUAUUCCUCAAAAAACUACAAUAGUGUAAUAUAAAAAGAACAAAAAUGUUAAAUUAUCUCAUAAAUUAACGAGAGUUAAAAAUUUAACUUAUGGUUAAUUAAAAUUUUUUAAUAAAUUCUAAUGGUGGGGAUAUAUUUGAAGAUAUUGGGAUUUUUAUAGGACCAACAUAUGAAGGUUCAAUUUUGUAGAGAUAUAUUUGUAGUUCACUAUAUUUAUAGGGACUUAUAAGAAAUUAAUUCUAAAAAUAAAUUAUAUUAUUUUACUGCAAAUACAGAGACAAAGAUUUUUUUUUUUCAAUAAGUGCCUAUUUUCUGUUGUUUUGUUUACAACGAACUAUAUUUAAUUGAACUCAAUUUUUUUUAAAAAAAAAAUUGUAAUUGGCUUCACUCUGGCUAAUGACAAUUGCAUGCAAGUGUAGAACUUUUUUUGAUGAAGUAACAAAGAAAAGUAAAUAAACUUUAAUUUUAAAGUCUCACUGCUAUUUAAUUGAACUCAAUUUUUUUUAAAAAAAAAAUUGUAAUUGGCUUCACUCUGGCUAAUGACAAUUGCAUGCAAGUGUAGAACUUUUUUUGAUGAAGUAACAAAGAAAAGUAAAUAAACUUUAAUUUUAAAGUCCUUAUCUUUUUUUAUCAAAUAAAUAGCAGUGAGAAUAUUAUUACUAUUUAAAUUUUAGCUUAACUAUGACUGUUUGUUCAACCAAAUGUGAAGCUCGUGUUGAAAUAGGCAUUUGAGUGAACUUAAUAUAAAAAUAAUUACUAUAAUCUUAAAGGCUUAAGCUAUAAUAAAAUAAUAUUUUAAUAUUUCAUAUUCAAUAUAUCUCCUAAUUAUAGAUUCAAAAUUUUUCAAUAGACUUAAGAACACGUAAAACACACAUUAACCAGCAAGUAAAAAAAGAUUAUUGACAUUACAUAUUGAUUGAUUAAAAUUUCUAUUAGAUGCAAUUCUAAAUAGAGUGUUUGCAUUUAUUAAUAUGAGUCUAAACGUUAUAAUUAAAAUUAGGAGUAAUUGCUUAUAUAUUCUGAAAAGUUCUUGAUUUUUUGAUUUAUCUCAUUUUAGAAGGCUAAUAAAAUUUCAUGACACCAACUUGAUACUCUUUAAAAUAUAUGGUACUAGAGUGAGAAAGUACGAAAUUACUAGGAUGAUAUUUGAAUUUAUUCAAAAAAAAAAAGGCCAUCUUUCACACCAUCAAAGAGACGCAAUGGACCAGUCAAAGUUGUAGCCACAUUAAUAAAAACAAUAUUGUUAUAAUGAUUGUAAUUUUAACUGUAUAUAUCUUAAUUUUAUCAAUUAUUUGUUUAGGGCUUGUUCGUUUCAAUGUAAAAAAGCUACGAAAAACAAAAAAUUUGGGGCCGAAAAUAUUUUUUCCAGUGUUUAAUUUGGUGUAAAAUAGUUUUGGGCCAAACAUUAUUUUACGAUUUCUUAAAAAAAAGGGCUUUUUGUUUUCCGCCUCAAAUCUGCAGAAAACGAAAACUGAGACGGAAAAAUUGCAGCUCACACGUGUUAAGAGCAUCACGGUCCACGAGCUCUCACAUAAGGUCAUGGACCAUGUGAGUGGUCCACAUUGGACCAUUUACCUACACCCUCUCUCUCAUAUAUAUAUAUAUAUAUAUAUAUAUAUAUAUAUAUAUAUAUAGAGUAGGGCUAGAAUACUUUUACAAGUAUCACCCAAGUAAUACUUGUGUGUUUUUAGCCCUUGGAUGGAGAGAUGUGAGGUUGAGAUGAUAGUGGUAGGUGGUGGUAGGUGGAAUAGUGUUUGAUCCAAGAGCUAUUUGUAAUUAAAAAGUAGAUCCAAUGGUUAAAAACGUGAUAGCAACAUGGGGAUGAUACUUGUAAAAGUAUCCUAGAUCAACUCUAUAUAUAUAUAUAUAUAUAUAUAUAUAUAGUUGAGCUAGAAUACUAUCGAUAGUAAACGAGCCGUUUUACUACCGAUUUGUUUUCGAUGAUAGAGCUUCCAAAUUGACGAUCGGCUUCGUUAAAUAUGAUCUAAACUAUUUAAACUAUCUAGAAAUCAAAUUUCACGUACUUUCGAUAUUGUUCUUUUAUUCAUCAAGUGAACAGAAAAAUAAACGGCUAAAAAUGAAUAUUCUUUAAAAAAUAAUGAUAGGAGUCUUGUAAUCAAGAUCAAGAGUAUAAAUCUUGUUUUAAAUAGUUUAAAGAAUUUUCUAACAAAAAUUCAAUUGAUUUAGAUAUCUUUACGCCGUUAAACGAGAAAACGUCUCUUAUCGACCAUUAAAAUUACAAAUUUUAAAACCCAUUGAUCAUUAGGCAAAUGAAAUUUAAUUUCUAAAUACUUCAAGUGGUAUAGGUCAUGUUCAACGGAGCCGAUCGUCAAUUUUGAAGCUCUAUCAUCGAAAACAAAUAGGUAGUAAAACGGCUCGUUUACUACUGAUAGUAUUCUAGCUCAACUCUCUCUAUAUAUAUAUAGAGAGAGAGAGAGAGAGAGAGAGAGAGAGAGAGAGAGAGAGAGAGAGAGAGUGAGAGUUGUGCUGGUAUGCUUAUGGAAACACGGAGGCCUCCGUGCUUUCAAGUCGUUUUCGAUGUUCGGAUUUUUGAAUCGACGAUCGGCUCCGUUAGAGUUGAUCUAGAGUAUUUAAAGUACCUAGAAAAUAAAUUUUGCGAUUUUUCGAUAUCAUUUACCUAGUGAUCGAAGGAGCUCAAAAUUAAUAAUUUUAACGGCCAUGGUGAGCCGGUUGCAAGUUUAACGGUGUAGAAAUAUCCAAAUUAUAUGAAAUUUUGAUAGAAAAAUUUUUAUACCAUAUAAAACAAGAUCAAUAACUUUGAUCUAAAAUUUUGAUGUCAUAUCAUCAUAUUUUGUAAGAUUUUUAUUUUCGGCAGUUGAUUUUGAGUCACUUCAAUCAAUAGGCAAAUGAUAUCGAAAAAUCACAAAAUUUAUUUUCUAGAUACUUCAAAUACUCUAGAUCAAGUCUAACGGAGCGGAUCGUCGAUUCGAAAGUCCGAACAUCAAAAACAAAAUGGAAGCACGGAGCCCUCCGUGCUUUCAUAAGCAUCCUAGCCGCACUCUGUGUGUGUGUGUAUAAGAGGGUGAAAAUUUAUUAUACAUCUUUUAUAUUUUUAUUAAUUUAAAUUAUAUAUUUUUAUAUAGUAUUAUAUGCAAACUAUUUAUCAUAUUAUAUUAAAUAUUUAUCAAUUUGUCAUAUUAUAUGAUUGUGAUAUAUUUAAUUCAUAAAUAUAAAUUAUAAUAAUAUAUAUAUAGCCUAAUAAUUAUUAUAAAUUAUAAAUAAAUAAUAUAUAGAAUACAUAAUAAAAAAAGUUUUACUUUUUCCUUUCAAUCACUAAACCAAACAAUUGUAACUAAAAAUUAAUUUUCUUUUCCUACAAAUCAAACACUAAAAAUCGUAAAAUAAAUUUUUCACAAAAAAUCUUUUUCUAUCGAAAUUUUGUUUUUUCUAAUUUUAUGUAGAACCAAAUAGCCCUUUAGCAUAAUCAGGAGACAAGUAUGAAUCAAAUUUAAAACUUUUUCUUUAAUAUAUUUCAAAAAAUAAUCAAUUUUUUUAAAACAAGUAAAAUUACUCAAAAUAAUAUUUUAAUAUUUUAUAUUUAUUAAUAUAUAUAAUAGUAAUAAUAAUUUUAGAUUGCAUGAAUGGAGGAAUUAAAAACCUUAAUAUGCAUUUUGUAUCUUAAAGCAUUCAGUGUGUCGGCGACGCCGCAGCCGCACAUCUUCCCCCAGUCGGGGCCUCCGAUGCGCUCCACGUGGCGAGCUCUGGGCGUCCGGCCUCAGCGUGCGAGCCUAUGCUGUGGCGCCCAACGUGGCUCCCACUCGCGACACGUCGACGACGCCGGCCUCGCCUCCCAGGGGCAAAUCCGUCAUUUCGCGCUACAGCUCUAACUAAUUUUUGAAAAGAAACGGAUGCGCAUUUGACAUAAUCCGCAAACAAAAAAAUUUAAAAAAUGUUACAAAAAUAUUACAUAAAAUUGUUUCUUUUUUUUAGUUAUUAUUAAUAUUGUUAUUAUUAUUUCUAAAAGAGGAUAAUUCGCUUGUAUAUUCGAUAACUUGAGGGGAGGCUAGGAGGGCCAGCUGGGCAUUUGCUCGUGGCCCUUCAUCUCCCAUUUUUUUUUUUUUUUUUAAAGAAAAAACCAUUUAUGAAGUUUCUUUGUUAUGAUUAAUGUUUUAAACAAGUAAUUACUGUAGAUAAUUAAGAUUAAUGUUGGGUCGAUGCUGUUCAGAAGAGCGUAAAUAUUUGGGAAAUAAAAAGCAUUUGGAUCCGAAGAAGUUAUUAGUAGACGUUUCCGUUGCUACCGCUUCCGCUUCUCUCUUCCUCGCCGCUUCUCUUCAACGAGAGAGAGAGAGAGAGAGAGAGAGAGAGAGAGAGAGUUGUUAAUAGUAAAGAGGAGGAGGAGGAGAGGAGGAGGGUUGGGUGAGGUUACCGCGUGGAUUCGUCGCCUCCUCUCUCUCUCUCUCUCUUUCUCCUAUGGAUUCGCGCUGGGCUGGCGCUUGACUCAGCUUUUCCUUAUGGGCGAUUGCGUCGCGUCAAAGGGAUCCCAUCUCUGAAACCCUAGCCCUCGCUCUUCGGAGAUCCCCCCGAUUCCCCCUCCCUCUGCAUUAGGGCGGUGGUGAGGGGGGGGGGGAAGCGCCCCGACGCGCCCCGGAGUUCCGCAAUGCGGCGGAGUGCGGCGGAGGAUCGGGCGGGGACGGCGGGGGGGUGUGCGACGAGUCGCUGGUGCACAUAGCGAUAACGCUGGACGAGGAGUACCUCCGCGGGUCGGUGGCGGCGGUGCACUCCGUGCUCCGGUACGCGCGGUGCCCCGAGGACGUGUUCUUCCACUUCCUGGUGGCCUCCGACCCGGCGCGGCUCGAGGCCCUGGUCCGCUCCGCGUUCCCGCGGCUCCGCUGCAAGCUCUACUUCUUCGACCCGGAGCGCGUGCGGUCCCUGAUCUCGAGCUCGGUGCGGCAGGCCCUGGAGCAGCCCCUGAACUACGCCCGCAACUACCUCCCCGACCUCCUCGAGCCCUGCGUGCGCCGCGUCGUCUACCUCGACUCCGACCUCGUCCUCGUCGACGACGUCGCCAAGCUCUGGCGCACCGACCUCGCCGGCCGUGCCGUGGGCGCCCCCGAGUACUGCCGCGCCAACUUCACCAAGUACUUCACCCCGCGCUUCUGGUCCGACCCCUCCCUCGCCUCCACCUUCUCCUCCUCCCCCCACCCCCACCGCAGGGGCCCCUCCUGCUACUUCAACACGGGGGUGAUGGUGCUCGACCUCGACCGGUGGCGGCGGCGCGGCUACACCCGCCGCAUCGAGCGGUGGAUGGAGGUGCAGAAGCGGCGGCGCAUCUACGAGCUGGGGUCGCUGCCGCCCUUCCUGCUGGUGUUCGCGGGGCGCGUCGCCCCCAUCGACCACCGCUGGAACCAGCACGGCCUCGGCGGCGACAACGUCCUCGGCAGCUGCCGCGACCUCCAUGCCGGCCCCGUCAGCCUCCUCCACUGGAGCGGCAGCGGCAAGCCCUGGGCCCGCAUCGACGCCCUCCGCCCCUGCCCCCUCGACUCCCUCUGGUCCCCCUUCGAUCUCUACCUCCACUCCGCCCCUUCCCCCUCCCCCCUCCUCCUCCUCCUCCUCACCGCCUAUUCCCGGUAACCCCUCCUUCCUUUCUUUUUCAUUUUGUUUUUUAUUUCUUGAAAAAUUAUUUUGUUGGGUCUUUUUUUCUUUUUCUUUUUAUUUUCAUCUCUCUCUCUCUCGUAAUUUUCCAUAAUAUUCCUGGUGCUUCGAUUUGUUCUGUUUUGUUCUGUUCUGUUCUGUUCUGCUCUGUUUUAGACGCUCUUCUCUGUUUUGGUGGUGGUGGUGCUGCUGUGCCUUGUUUUAGUUCUUAAAAAUUCUUAUGGGGCGAUUUGUAUCUUAUUCUAAUUGUUGUUGCCUCCGCAAAUAAAAAAGAAAAAGGGGAACGGAUAUAAAUAUAUUCACAUUUGUUCACAUAUUCGUAUGUCCAGUUGUGGAUUUUAUAGAUUAAUCAUUAGAUAAUAAUAGAUUUCUGUGACGUUCUCGGAACGGGCACGCGGCGGUUUCCAUCCCGCUCGGAUUUUUUUUGUUUGUUCUUCAUUGUUUCUUGUAUUGCAAUCUUCAUAGCAUCCCAAUCUGUAUAGGCAUAUAGAGAGAGAUAGAUAGCACUAAAGCCCCAGCACGAUUCUUAAAGCAGCCACCACUUCAAAAGGGUGGAGGAGGAGAGGGGCCUCCUCCUUUUUGGUGGGUCUAAUCGAUGUAUUUGAGAGAUAAGGUUAAAUAUUUACAAGAUUAUAACUUUUUUUUUUCCCAUCAAUGUAGUUAAAUCUUAUAUCUUUAUCAAGCAUGGUGUGUCUUGGUGUAGGAUAACUAUGUGGAUGGGAGGGGGUUGGUGAUGGUGGGGAUGUGUGUGUAGGUGUUAGAGGUGCGGUGGCUUCGGUGGCAGCAAAUAACACACACUGGACUUGUGAGCUACUGCCCAAAAUUGUCUCCCUUUUAGCUCUUUCAUGUUGUGCCUCCUUUCUUUGGACCACCUCUCCCCUUCUAUUCUUUUCUUCUGUUUGAGCACAAAUGCGUCGUCUUUUAGCUCCUUAAGUUAUUACAGUAGUCGGUUAUUUCACAUAAUAUCAGAUAGCAUAUGUGGCCAUUUUUUAGCUUUAUUUAGUUUUCUAUCUUUUAGUUUAAGUUCAUAUCCUGGGCCUAUUAAGUAUUAAAAAAGUGUCAAGACCAGAUUGGAAGGAAAAACGGAGUAUAUUUUCAGAGCAAUCCUUUACUUCGUAAAGGUGUCACAUUAAUUUUAUUUAUUAUUAUACUUUAAUCACUUUCAGCAUUACCUUUUACAUCAUAUCUAUCUAUCCCUUUCCGGCAAUUUACCUUUUCUAAUUUUAAAUCAAUUUACGAGUGUUACUUUUCUUAACAUUGUUAGUCUAAAGAGCUCUUAAGAAUCCGAGCAAAUGGCAAUAAGCUACGCGCUCCGCAUGUGUCCAUUUCCGCCUUGAUUUGGCUUUUCUCGGGUAGAUGGUAGCACGAUGAUGACGGCACAUCCGAAUAGGGCUUUAAGUUUAAGUUAGCAGUUUACACGCAGCUUUCUAUUACACCAUCACAAGCAUAUUAUGACAAAGAGGGUGGUGGUUGGGUCCUUUUUAUAUGUAUAGUUUCAUUAGGUCUAGGUGCCUUAAACCGUAGUCUUAAACUCACCAAAUUCCGGAGCUUUACUAGGUCAAAUCUUUUAAUUUUCUUUGGUUUUGAGUACAGAAGCUGGGUAGGAUUUAUGAUAAGCCCGAGUGUUUGUAUUGAAUGCUUCAAGUGUUGUUGGGGGGGUGUUUGGUAAGUUUCUUUAUGAACUGUAGCCCUGUGAUAAUUUCUUGGAUCUCUCUGGAACUUACAAUGUACUCUGUAAGUGUCAUAACCUUUGAUUUUUUUUUUUUUGGUUUCUGUGGGUAGUGAAGUGUCGUAUGGUUAAAGCUUUUUCUUGUGCUGUGGUCCUCAUAGAUGAGGGCCCCAUAAGCUGAUGUGGGCAUUUUCGUGGUCUUUUUCCGGAACUAUCAUUUUCCCCCCAUCCACCUCAUUAUCUAGAAGCUUUAUUAGAAGCUAAUUUGGAGUAGCCCAUAAACUUAGAGCCUCUUUGGGUAGAGCUAUUAGAAAAAGCCCGCAAAUACCAGCUUCUUGCUGAAGCAGAAACAGAAGUUCUGAAUAGGAGGUUCCAGCUUUUGUUCUCCAAGCAUUAAGCUUUUCGUUAGAGACAAGCUUCUAACUUCAUUAUUUUCAUAAGUACUCGAUGGUUGCUUUUAGCAUUAGAAGUGCUUCGCAUCGCAAGCUAGGGCAAAAUGUCAUUUUAAGAACCAUCAGAGGAUAGUGAUGUGGCGGAAAAGCCGUGUGACGAUAUAAUGUUGAAAUGAAGAGAUUGAUUGCGUCGAAGUUUUGUUCUUGCGGUAGCAAUCGAACAGUAAUAUUGAAGCGGCGAGUUUUCAAAAAAUUGGCGGUGGUUUAAGGGCUGUGUCUUUUCCGUCGGAAAAAGACAUUUCCCCGUUAAUGAGUUGUUGUAGCUCACCAUAUAGAUUUAGUUGGUCCUGGUUCUUGUUUGUACUAUAGCAGCAAAUGAGUAUAUAGCCGUUAUAGAUAGCACCGAGCGCAAAACUUUUGUUGAUAAUCCCAAUAUUAUCGAGGGACACCUAUGGUGACCGUUGCAAAGUGUUUUGAAUAAUGUCCUUUUCCUUAGAUAAAUUGUAGUGUUGGUUCUAUACUUUUCGUCAAGUUUUACUUUAGUCCUCAUAAAUAAAUAGACACUCGCAGCCCCCGCAAAACGCGGGGAACGCACCGUACAAACUCUCGAUUCAAGAGUUAUAUAGAUUUGGCAGUGUUUUUUGUUUUUUUUUUUGUAAUACUUGCCUUGCGGCUGUUCGUUGGACUCUUCAUCCAUGUCUUAUUUUUAAUUUAACUAUUUGAUUUUUAACUAAAAGUGAAACACUUUAAAUUUCUGAGAGCUCACUGUGGAACUUAAGAAGCUCAAGAACUAAAACAAAAAUGGGCUAAGAACUGGAGACUAGUGGUGCUAUAUAUUUAGUUAGCUAAUUUAUAUUUUUUUUUAGUCAACACUUUUGGUUGUGAAUGGACAUGGUAGUCACAUCGGUGUGCGAAAGAGCAACUUUGACAUAUCAUGUGUAAUAAAAUUGGCAAAAAUUUAUAGAACUACGAAAAUAUGGAUCAUUUUGAUUUAAUUACUCAAUCUUUCAAAUUUUAAAUUUUACUAUCUAAUUUUGCCGUUUGUUUGAUUUAAAUCAGUCAAAGACAUUUCGAUUUUAAAUUUUAUGCUAAUUAAUUACUUUAUAUAAUCCUAUCAAUUAUAAAUUUAUUGAAGUAAUAAAUUUAAAUUGAAGUAAUAAGGUUAAACAACAGACGUCCCUGUGGGGGAAUCUUCGCCCUAUGGAGAAACACUGAUUUUUUUUUUUUUAUCUAGUUUUUUUUUUUUUUUUUUUUCCGUCUUUGUCCGGCUUUUCAUCUCUUUAGAGGUAUUGUUGCCUCACCCAUGUAGCUAAGUUCAUAUCUUGAAUGAAUGAAACGGGUAGCGUGCUACCUUUUUUUCAAAAAAAGAAAAAAGUUUAAAUUUUGAAGUUGAAGUGCCGUAGAUUGGUUCAAAUUAAAUAUGUUGGAAAAUUAAUAAGUAAAAUUAAAAUUUUGAAAGAUUAGAUAGACGAUUCAAAAAUGAUACGUAGUAGUUUAGAUAGAUUUUAUACAUUUUUAUUAGUGAAGUACAAUGUAGUGUUAGACUACACUGAUGCAUUGAAGUUGAUUUGAUCAAAUCUACCACCUAAACAUUGAUUUGGUGUAGGAAUAAAAUGACUUUGAAUUAUAUUAACUAGUUGAAAUGUAAUAUAUGCUGAAUCUGAUGAAUAGUUUAGUUCAAUUCGAUGUAUUUUUUUGUAGUUAAAGGAUAGUAAAUUUGAGAUUGAGAUUCACCCCGUAAUUACCCUGAAUUAUUAUAGCAAUUGUGGCAGAGCAAAGCACCUAUAGUAGAUCUCUGGAAUGGUAUGAAUGGUACAAGGAGAGGAGAGAAUCCACAAAAAAGGAUGCAGUUGCUCACAACAUCAUUAAUAGUGCCAAAAAUUAACAAACCUCCACUAUAUAUUUAGGAGAAAGAUGAACUCAGGCAAAUUUAAGCUGUACCUUUUAAAACACACAGGCAUGUACCAUGCAUGCCACCUCAUAUAGGAAUCUAACUAAAGGUCACACACACACACACUCUCUCUCUCUCUCUCUCUCUCUCUCUCUCUCUCAUAUGAUGUGAUUAGCAUUUGUGGCAUCAUCCUUGCAGAAUCCUAAGAGGGAAGAUGCUAAAUUUAGAAGGGAAUGUACUAAAUUUUCUGCAUGUUUAGUCUUGCUCUUGUUUCCAGACUCAUCAAUUUUAAAUUUUUUGCUAUGGUUGGAAAUAGAAAUAAGAUUCUAAGGACCAAAAUUGAAAGUUUCCACUUACAGUUUUCCUUGUACUGUAGUGAGAAGUUAUGUGCUUGUUUUUUUUAGUAAUUUAAUGGCAUGAUAGCGUACAACAACACUGUAUCUGGACUCUUUCAAGGCGGUAACACUGUUCAGGGAAAAAGUGCUAGGGUCCUCUUUAUUUUUUUACUGGUUUUCAUAAAAAUUAAUAAAAAAUAUAUAUUUUUUGUUUUGUUUUUUUUUUUUUACUAUACAUACCUUACUUUUUCUUCUGUAAUCCUAUAUAUAAUAUAAAAUAUCAUAGGUGAUGUGUGAGUGUAGCUGUUGUAUUCAUACCGUACAUCUCUUAAUUCAAUAGCUAAAAAUUUGGUAGCACCAAUGACUUGGAGCCAUUAAUAAUAUAUUAGUCUAGUUAUAUAUACGUUAUUUGGUCACUGUUUAUGUGUGUGCGAUUGUUUGUUUGUUUGUUCUUCACUAAAGGGAACUUUAUUUAUUCACUCUUUAAGACUUCGUUGUGUUAAAAUGUAACGGUGAAAUCGCAUCCGUGGAGUGCACGAGAACAGGGUACUUUUUCGGUACACCUAAGGGAAGUUUAAAGUAAACCCGUGGUUAAUCCAAACAACGACUACGAAGAAAUAGAGAAACAUCGGAGGUUUUCAUCCUCUUUUUCCUUUUAAGUGACUCUUUACUUCUUUGUUUUAUUAUUAUUAUUAAUAACAAUAGAGGUAUCUAGGUUACUUAACUUAGUUUGUUGUGUUUCGUAAUGAAAACUCCGUACCUCUUUUGUACAAACGAACUAGCUACUCCAGAUCACUGACAACCAUCCACGUACGCAAGCUAAUAUUCACCGAUUACUGUGGUCGUAUACGUACUAUCAUCAUAGCUGUUUUCCUCAUCAACUACUUUCGUUUCAAAUUAGCAAACGUGGACCACGAGGUACAGUGAGUACGUAGAGAGUCACUACUUGGGAGGUAAUGAGAAAAAAAAAGAAAAAAGAAAAAAAAAAAACUCUCUAUCCAUCGUGAGAUGGACAAAGCAAAUAAAGUAAAUCUUUAUUUGAAUCGACCUUUACACUUAGUUCAUCCUAAGUUUGAACCCAGAGCCUAUGGUUGAUGGUUCCGGAAACGGUGAACGAGAUCUCUGCCAACCAUACUUGGGAGGUAAUGACAAUUUUAUAUAUAGCUCAAACUUAGAGUCAUGAAAUAACAAAGUAACUUCAUGUUCGAGGUAAAGAAACUUCAAGUGUUGGACCCACAUUACCUGGAUUACCACGGAACUCGGGCUCGUUCCCCUUCUUGAGAGAUUAUAUUGUACGAUUUAUUAUAAAAAGACUGUCGAAUAAGAAAAUCUCCUUUUUAUAUUAAUAAAAUGUUAAUAGCGUUGCAACCAAGAUUUUAAUAUAUAUAUAAAUCUAUGAACUAACUUGAAAAUUCUAUCCCACUUACUAGUACUAGAGAGAGAGAGAGAGAGAGAUCGUCACCCGCGUCCAAGUUAUUUGGUCCUGUAUAUACAUGCUGCACCCGGAUUUUAACGUACGUACUCGAGAUUUUAAGCACCUACAUUAACUCUGUCUCGAAGUGUUUCCUCCUUUGUGUAACCAUCAUGAAACGUUUUCUCAGGUUAGUUUUUAACCUCCUCAGGAGGGAGUAAUUUUCUACUCUUCUCCCCUCACUUUUGAGCUUUUUUUCUUUUUUUUUUUUUUUCCUCUUUUUUGACUCGGACAGGUGGAAAAACAAGGGAUACUACCUGUAUCGGUUUACAGGUGAGAGGUGUAGAGAGAAACAGGGACAAUAGGAGAGACGAUAGGUAUUAUGUACUCGGUAAGGUGAGAUUAGGCAUGGAGUAAGUAAUAACGAUACAUGAGCACAAUAGGAGUAACGGGGCUUUCGCUUUUUUAUAAAUUUUUUUUCCGGUUGAACGUAUUUUUUAAAUAAUCAAAACUCGAAUACAUUUUCUUUCUACAGUAAAAUUUAAAAUAUCUAAGCCUAGUGUAAAAGUUUUUUGACUAAUUUUAAUAAAAAAAAAGGGAGGAGAAAAAAAAAAGAGAGUAAGAAAAAAAAAAGAAAGACAGGCUUCUCUCACCGCUUCCGCUUCCGCCUCCGCCUGGCAGAGCGGAGGUAGGGGUGUGGGACUAGGAGCGGGCGCGUAGGAGGGAGGUGGAAGGAAUGAAGACUGGGGCAGCUCCAGGGCGUAGCUGGAAGAAGACUGGAGCGGCUCCGCUCCUUCCACCUCCCUCCUACGCGCCCGCUCCUAGUCCCACACCCCUACCUCCGCUCUGCCAGGCGGAGGCGGAAGCGGAAGCGGUGAGAGAAGCCUGUCUUUCUUUUUUUUUUCUUACUCUCUUUUUUUUUUCUCCUCCCUUUUUUUUUAUUAAAAUUAGUCAAAAAACUUUUACACUAGGCUUAGAUAUUUUAAAUUUUACUGUAGAAAGAAAAUGUAUUCGAGUUUUGAUUAUUUAAAAAAUACGUUUAACCGGUUUUUCUUUUUUUUUUAUUUCUUCUUCCGUUUUUUUUCCUUCUGUACAUUACUCAACUGUAAAAGAGAAAACUUUUCGAACAAGGAAAAAGGAGCUUUCUAUUAUACACUGAGGUAGAGUGCGUGUUAUGAAACUACACACUAUAUAUAUAAACCUAAACUAAAAGAUACAUACUCAACCCAUCUUAUAAUCUAAUGAACAAUCACCCAAAAGAAAAACUCUUAUACACAGCUGUCGGCCUUUGGCCUCUUCUGGACUCUGUUCUGUCUCGCCUAAUCAUCGUAGACAAUUAAUGAAUUCUUGUUUUAGCUUUAAUUAAUAUCGAGAUUAUUUAUAAUUGUAUAAAAUUACGACCAAACCCGCUCUUGCUGAAUAGACUAUUAGUUUUUCACACACACACACACACACACAUCUAUUACGAAGUAUAUCACUUCUCUUUUAUGAACCUUAUUAUACAAACGUGCAUAAAUAUAUUAAGAAAAAAUUGGUUGUUUUACACUUUUAACGAUCUUUAAACUACAGUAGCUGGGUUUCUUAUACCAAGAACAGGUGAGAUAUUCACGUCGUUGAUAACUUCCGGUGUUAAACUAAUUACGCGACAUAUACAUUCAGUUAAUGAUCGAGCCUGUGUUAUUAAUUACAUAGUUGAAAAGAAACAUGUACGACCAAGAAAAUAACAAAUUAAACCACCGAAGAAGUUGGUUUGUAUAUACGUAAUCUUUAAAUUCAUUUACGCUGAUGCGUAGGUUUUACCGUUUGGCAGGAAAAUAAUUCCUGGAUUGCACAGAAAAGAGAAGGAAAUAGAUGAAAAAAAACCUAACGCUGAAAGUAUUUGAUGAAUGAGAUAAAGAUUAAGCUAUUGUUUAAAUGAAAAUUAAUCAUCUCACUUUGAAAACUACAACCAAUUAAGUUGAUAUAUAUAUAUAUCGAACUACUACCCGAUAUGUGUUAUAUACCUCCUAUUAAUAAAAGAAUCUUUAUAUAUCCGGUAUUGGUAUCUGGGUUUAAGACCCCGAGAUGAACCAUUCCAAGCCCACUUUAAGUUUUUUAAGUUUUUAUUUUUUUUUAUUUUUAAGUCACAAUAUAUGCCUAUCAUUUAAUACUUGUAUUUUGUAAUUAAUUUGUAUAUACUUUCUUAUUCGAGAGAAACAUGGAAUAAAAUAUAUCCAAUAAUUUUGUAUUACUUGUCAAAUAAACCGUUAUGUUCUACAUAUUUUAUAAAUUAAAUCAAUCAUUUAAUAAAUAAUUAUAAUCAUACUUAUAUUACCGUACGUGGGGUACUACUACACAAUCGUAAAGGUGGAAACUUUUUAGGUGGAACUUUUAAGAUGUAUUUGAUUGCCAGUGAUAACCAGUAGUGAUCGAAGUGCCCUCCUUUAUCUAAUGCAUAGUGUAACCGUAAGUACGUCCGUUUUUAUUCUAUUAUAAGGAUUCAAAUAUAUAUAUAUAUAUAUAUAUAUAUCUCAACUCGAUACUAUGAAAAUGUUCAUAGUGGUAGUACCACGAUAAUCCAAAAUUCGGUAACCUAGAUGAAAAACUAAUAAUUAUCGGGAACCUAAUUUGUAAUAAGGUGGAUGGUGGUGGAUGGUGGUAGUAGAGUUGGAGUGUAGAGAGGUAGGUUUCCGAUUUUUGUGUGUUCAUAGUGGGGGUACUACGAAAAUGUUCAUAAGAUCGGGAUGAGAUAUAUAUAUAUAUAUAUAUAUNUGCGUUCUUAUAGCACGGAAGCGUCCGUACGGACUUUUUUUUUUAAGGAAAAACUUCAAAUACUCCCUGUAGUUUCGUACGUUUUCACUUUAGUAUCCUGUGAUUUAAAAUAGAGUUGAGCUAGAAUACUAUCGGUAGUAAACGAACCGUUUUACUACCGAUUUGUUUUCGAUGAUAGAGCUUCCAAAUUGACGAUCGGCUCUGCUAAAUAUUAUCUAAAUCAUUUAAACUACCUAGAAAUCAAAUUUCACGCACUUUUGAUAUUAUUCUUUUAUCCAUCAAGUGAAUAGAAAAAUGAAUGAUUGAAAAUAAAUACUCUUAAAAAAAUGAUGAUAGGAGUCUUGUAAUCAAGAUCAAGAGUAUAAAUUUUGUUUUAAAUAGUUUAAAGAAUUUUCUAAUAAAAAUUCAAUUGAUUUGUAUAUUUUUACGCCUUAAACGAGAAAACGCCUCUUAUCGACCAUUAAAAUUACAAAUUUUAAAACACUUUGAUCAUUAGGCAAAUGAUGUCGAAAAGAUUUGAAAUUUAAUUUCUAAACACUUCAAGUGGUAUAGAUCAUGUUCAACGGAGUCGAUCGUCAAUUUGGAAACUCUAUCAUCGAAAAUAAAUCGGUAGUAAAAUGGCUUAUUUACUACCGAUAGUAUUCUAGCUCAACUCUCUCUCUCUCUCUUUUUAUAUAUAUAUAUAUANGAGUGUAAUAAAUAUCUAAUUUUUGUGACAAUUAUCAAAACAAAAGUUAGUAAGAUCUCAGUACCAAUAAAAAACUAAACAGAUUUCAUAGCGCAACUCCUGUUGAAGAGGACACAUUAAUAAGUGUUGCUAUUAGGAUUAUUAUUAUUAUUAUUAUUAUUUACAUGGAUACAUAAACUAGAUGCUCUUAAUUUUCCAUGUUGCAUUAAACAAAGCCAAUCCAACAUUGUUGUCACCGACAACAACACGGGAGAGAGAGCCAAGGACAAUGUGGGUACAAUGUGAGGACUACUACUACGACCCCUUGAAUCCUUGAUGAGCCUUUUCCAAAGCCACUGCAAAACCACUAUAAAAGUGAAAAAAAUGUACUCGGGAGGAUAAAGUUUUUGGCAAAUAUUAAUGCGUUGAGUUUGCAUGUUUUCAAAAGUACCUUUGUGCCUUUUAGUUAAAUAAAUUUUAUAAAUUUUAUUAUUAUUUAUUUAGUGAUCGAAAAAAUUUAAAAUGAACAGCUAAAAAUAAAAAUAUUAUAAAAAAUAAUGAUACAAUAUUAAAAUUAUAGAUAAAAAUAUUAAUCUUAUUUUAAAUAGUAUAAUUUUUUUUACCAAAUUUUUUUUUAUAUUUUUACAUCAUUAAACUUGCAACGACUCACAUUGAUCUUAAAAUUAAUAAUUUAUUCUUUGUACACUUCAAAUACUCCAAAUCAAUUCACAACGAUUCGAAUUUUUCAUUGUCGAUAAUAAUUUAGAAGCACGGAGACCUGCUUCUAAACAUAGUCCUGCAAAAAAACCCACAAACCCACCACCAAGCUUUCGUUGCAGUUCUUGGUUAUGCUGAAUAUAAUGAAAAAAAUUCUUUUUAUGUAAUAGUUAUAGCAAGAAUAGGAUACAUCUCGAAUCGAUUAUAUUGUGCGCAGAAUCAUAAAAAAAGAGUUUAGUUAAAGAUAACAAUAACUUCACACCAAAAUGAUGUCUUAGUAAGAAUUUGUUUAGACAUAUAUUCAGAUGUUGUUGCUGCUAAGUGGACUUACUGUGUGUGCCAAAGAAGAUUUCCUCAAAUGUGAAGCCGAGUUUGAAUUGAUUUUUAUGCAGAAUAUGCUUCAAGUUUUUCACAGAUUUGUUUUUAUACACUAUCCAAGUUUCCUGGGUUCUAUGCCACAAUGUAAUUGCUUAGAUUUGUCACGUGACAUGAUUCACCUAAUUUCUGUCGUAUAAAUGAGGAUGCUAAGAUUAUUUCUGAACGGUCUCUUAUCCGGUAGAUCAGUUAGACAUGGCUCUUAUUUGAAGAGUUUUAAAAUUUUUGAAAGUUCAGAUGCCAUUAUUAAAAAUACAAUAAAAUUAAAUAUUUUCGAAUGUUAAUAUAUCUUUUGUAAAAUAUGACAUUUUUUGGAUUAGGUUUUCACAGUAUAUAAUCAUUAAUUUAUGAAGCUUUAGAGAUGCAAAGAUGUUAUAUUUUUUUGUAUGUAAAAACAUGUAGACUUAUGUAAACUAUGAACUAUUUUGAAUUGACUAUCUAAUCUUUUAAAAAUUUUAUUUUACUAUUCAAUAUUUCAAUUUAUUUGAUUUGGGUCAGCACCAUUACUUCGACUCCGAAAUUUAAAUUAAUGAUUUACUUUAAUAAAUUUAUAGUAUUAAUAAUUGUAUGAAAUAUACUAACUAAAUCUAUAAAAAUAAAUGAUGUAUUCAAAUUUUGAAGUCAAAUACCGUCGACUGACUCAAAUAAAACAAAUCGAAAAAAAUGAAUAGUAAAAUCAAAUUUUAAAAAAUUGGACAGUAAAUUUAAAAUAUUUCAUAGUUCAGAUAAUUUCGGUAUAUUUGUACUUUUUUUUAUUUUAAAUGGUGAGUUGAUAAUUGUACAAGUCUAGUAGAAAGUAAUAAUGGUAUUCUCAUUUGCACCAAGUAAGAAAAUGACAAAACCCCACGAUUCGAAAUCCAAGAAUAAUAAAAAAUUAUAUUGUACAGAAAGAUUAUGAUGAUAUUUUUUGAAAGGGUAAACUUCAAAUACCAUUCCCGUGGUUUCGUAUUUUCUCACUUUAAUAUCUUGCAGUUUAAAAUGUAUCAAUUUAGUACUUUGUGCUUUUUUUUUUUUUUUCCUUUUCGUCAGCUCCUCCGUUAAUAUUUUGUUAAAUUUUAUACAAAAAAAAUUUUAGAUACCCUACCUAGAUUUAUCGAAUAUUCACUUUAGUACAUUUUAGUCUUAACUUUGUCACUGAUUUAACGAAAAAAAAAUUAAUGGAGGAGAUAAUAAAAAGAAAAAAAUAAAACCAUGGGGUACUAAAUAGAUACACUUUAAAUUAUAGGAUAUAAAAUAAAAAAAAAUAUGAAACUAUAGGGGUGAUAUUUAAAGUUUUUUCUUUUUGAAAUGUUAGAGACCUAUGAAAUAAAAGAUCAACUAAAAUAUUACAAUGGGCUCUUUCGCAGGAGAGGUGACUCCUCAAAAUGGCCAAUUCACACAAUUUGGCCCAUAGUCCCAAAAAUUAAAGACCCUUCUCUUUUCUAUGUUUCAAAAAAAAAUUAUAGUCUAAUUUAAAAGAUAAUUUUAAUUUUAAAUUUUAAAUUUAAAUUUGCUUGUCCCAAAUACCCAAACGCUAGCAAACCAAAAAAUGGAAAAAGAGGAGAAAAAAAGAGAGCAGCUUUUCGAACUCCAACGGUCGGCUCAUCUCCACCGUUCAUUGAGUGAUCAGAGGAUUUUGUAACGGCUAUUUUUUAUGGCUUUUGAAGUGCGGAUUCGACCGUUGAGCUUUUUAUUAUAUUAUAUUAUAUUAUAUUUCCGUGGGAAUUUAAUUCAAAUGCAGGGAAAGAGACACCAUGAAAAUCAUGUAGCCAAAUGUAAGAAAGAAGCUCACUCUCUUUACUGGGAAAGUGAUUUUAUUUAAGCCCAAGAGAAACAGAGAAUAGAUAUGUUUUCAAAGCCAAAUUUAAUAUUGCUGAAGUAUAUAUGUAUGUUAUAUCAGGUCAUUAUUUUGAUUUUUCGUUUUGCUCUGUCGAUAUCAAAUUUUUUUCUGAAAAUAUUAAUUUCUAAAAAAAAAGAUAUUUAUGUAUGUGGCUAAAUUAAGUUACUAUGGACAAUUUAGAUUAGCAGAAUUUGAUCAAAUUCAAUUAGCAAAAAGCAAACGAAUUAGAAAAAUUUACUUUUCAAGAGAGGGAAAAUUUUCUUGGUUAGAAUAUGGAGAGUAAUAAUUCACCUACAAUUUGAAAAAGAAGAUCCUAAUUACACUUUAGAGAGCUUAAUUAAUUACCUAAUUUCCGCCCCCCUUUAGGCUUAGGGUCCGUUUCGUUCAACGAAAAAUCAUGUCGUGAAAAAAUAUUUUCGGUGAAAUUUUUCUUAUGCUUUAUCGUGUUUGUUUUGUAGAAAAAAAUAAAUUUUCAGCAUAAUUUAUUUAGUUGAAAGAAAAAAAUUCAUAUUUAUUUAGUUUGAUAGAAAAAAUAAAUAAAAAAUUUUUAAACAGAUUGAAUUUUAUAUAUAUAUAUAUAUAUAUAUUUUUUUUUAUACGGGUCCUAACAUGUUUGACCCCACAAGCCACUUUAAUUUCUAGAGACCUGGUCAACUCAACUACAAAAGUCUAACAAAUUUCAUUAUUACUGACAUGAUACAUAAUUAAUAAAAAAGGCCAAUUUAUCCUUUUUCUUUUAACUUUUGUGGUUCAAAUAAUUACAUUUAAUUAUCACAUAUCUUAGUGUGUUUUCAUUUUGCAAUCUCAUGGUUCACUUUGCCAUGAUGCGACUCUUAUUUAGAUUUGAUUUCAAGUUCUGAUUUCGGUUUAGAUGUAAUUUAGACACGAAAAAAAGCCACAACUGACCUCGAAUUCGUUAAUUUUUAUUUUAACAUUUGAGACUGUAGAUUACGAGGUACAUACCGGGGUCUGGGAUGGAGGUUAGCGGUGUCUGGAACCUACUGGCUGGAGACUAUUGCCAAGGAACAACAACGAGGGAUCAAAUCAGGAUUGCAAUUUGCGGGUAGACGAUUUGACAGAAAAUAAAUAAUAUAAUUUUUAUAAACCAAUCAUUUGACCUUUUUUUGAAAAUUUUUAGGAACUAAUCAUUUGUAAUUUUAAUUUAUAUAAAAUUUUAUUCAAAUUUUUUCUAAAACUUAAAUUAACUUUAUGGAUUCAAAUUAAAAUUUAAAUUAUAAUUUAAAGUUUGAAUUUGAAUAAAUCGAAAUUUAGUUUUAAUAUUUUGAAUUAUCCACUCAACUUCAAAAUUUAUUUAUUUUUUUAAAAAAAUAGAUAUAAAAUUUUGACAUUAUUUCAAAAUUUUGAUAUAUAUUUUUAAUAUUUAAUUUUUAAUUUGAAUUUAAAUUAAUAUAUUAUAAAAAUAAAGUUAGUAUAUUAAUUUGAUUAAGUUUUUUAUAUCUAUCUGAACCAAACAUCGACAAUGAGUAUGAUUUAUUCCAAUUUCGAUUCAGGUGAUGAAUCAAACAGAAUUAGGUAAUAAGUCAUUUCGAUUCCAAUUCCUGCUUAUUUCGAUUUCGAUUCUUAUUCCCAUUUCGAUUUGAAACCAAACACGCUCCUAAUUUAGAAUACCCAUAUCUAUACAUUAUUUCCCAUAAAUUUGCCACAUGAUAAUUUCUCUUUCACCCUUGCCUUCUCCCCCUUUUCACUCCUUGGUGCUUUGCCUUCCCACCUUCCAUCUUCGCACGAUGUUUCGUCUUCUCAGUCGUUUACUUUCUAAUUAAUUCAUUCAUAUAGUCUAUUGUCAUCUAAAUAAAUCACUUUUACGAAUAAAAAAAUAAAAUAAGAUUUUUUUUUUAUACUCUUUUUGUUUCAUAUUAUUUGUACUUAUUGAUGUCUCACUUGCAACUCAAAAAAUUUUAAAAUUAUUAUUUUAUUAAUUUUUGUUUUUUUUAUAGUAUUAGACCGUUGCAAUACAUGCGUAACUUCACUGUAUAUCAAGAAUUGGUAAAAGAAUUAAUGGUAUUAUAAAACUUCCGCGGUGUCCUUUAAAACACAAAAAUUUGUUGACUUAUUUUAUCAAUAUUUUUUUAAUAUUGAAAAAAAAAUAAAAAAAAAUUGGAUUAUAAAGGUAAAAUAUAUAUCCUAUAAUUGAGUGCAUAAAUAGUAUUAUUCUAAGAUUAAAAUACAGAAAAUCUUUCUAUAAAAAUCAUUUUUUUCACUUUUUUUUUCCUGAUUUUUAAAAACUUAUAGUUCGCUCUAUUAAAAUUUUAAAAAUAUUUUCAGCAGAAUAAUACUAUUUAUGCACUCAAUUAUAGGAUAUAUAUUUUACCUUUAUAAUCCAAUUUUUUUUUAUUUUUUUUUCAAUAUUAAAAAAAUAUUGAUAAAAUAAGUCAACAAAUUUUUGUGUUUUAAAGGACACCGCGGAAGUUUUAUAAUACCAUUAAUUCUUUUACCAAUUCUUGAUAUACAGUGAAGUUACGCAUGUAUUGCAACGGUCUAAUACUAUAAAAAAAACAAAAAUUAAUAAAAUAAUAAUUUUAAAAUUUUUUGAGUUGCAAGUGAGACAUCAAUAAGUACAAAUAAUAUGAAACAAAAAGAGUAUAAAAAAAAAAUCUUAUUUUAUUUUUUUAUUCGUAAAAGUGAUUUAUUUAGAUGACAAUAGACUAUAUGAAUGAAUUAAUUAGAAAGUAAACGACUGAGAAGACGAAACAUCGUGCGAAGAUGGAAGGUGGGAAGGCAAAGCACCAAGGAGUGAAAAGGGGGAGAAGGCAAGGGUGAAAGAGAAAUUAUCAUGUGGCAAAUUUAUGGGAAAUAAUGUAUAGAUAUGGGUAUUCUAAAUUAGGAGCGUGUUUGGUUUCAAAUCGAAAUGGGAAUAAGAAUCGAAAUCGAAAUAAGCAGGAAUUGGAAUCGAAAUGACUUAUUACCUAAUUCUGUUUGAUUCAUCACCUGAAUCGAAAUUGGAAUAAAUCAUACUCAUUGUCGAUNUUUAGUUAUUUUAAAUUAAAUUUUAAUUAUAAAAAUAUACUAAUAUUAUUUUUAUUUAUUAAAAUAUUUAUUAUUUAUAUAUAAAUUAUACUUUUACAUUAUAUACUUCCUACCAAAUAAAUAGUAGAACUAAUGGAACUUCACUUUCAUAGUUACGAAACAAACAGCAGGGAAGAAGUAGUUUUUACUAAAGUCCACUUCAACCCAAAGUCCACUUCAACCCAAAGUCUAAUUUCGGUGAAACAAACAUACCCUUAGCAUAAAUAUGCAUCCAUCAAUGCAAAAUAUUUGGAAACAAAAAAAAAAAAUUACAAAUGAAUAAUACAUAAAAAAAUGCAAUGCAUGUGGCGAUAAUCACGGGCAUAUGAACGUGCCCCCCACUUCCAUAAUCGUGUCACCGACCAAAAUUGUCUACAUUGUUCCAUUCAAUUCUUUGUUUAAUAAAAUGUAAAACAACGGUUGUAAUUUUUAUAAGUCUUGUUGCUUGAAUUUGAAUUAAAUAAAAAAAUUAAUUAAAAGCUAUACGAAAAAAUUAAAAAUGCUAAGCUCCCGGCGUGAUUCAAACUCAAGAUCUCAUACUCUGAUAUUAUAUAAAACUAGUGUAGAUACCCGCGCGUUGCAGCGGGUAGAUACUAUUGAAGUAAAAAUUUAUAAAUAAUAAAAUAUCAACUAUUAGUAGGUUAACAAUAAGUAUCAAGAAUUAUAAACUUCUGGUAUAUUGACGUCGAAACAUUUGUGACCAAAUAAAGACUACAAUAUAGACAAUCAUUUUUAAUCAACCCAAUAGGAAAAAUCUUUCAAAUUCAAGAUCUCAUACUCUGAUAUCAUAUGAAAUAAUCAUUAUAAUUUAAAAACUUUAAGCUGAUAAUUAGUAUUUUAGUUCUCAAAGUUUAAUUUAAUAUAAUUUUUGACUCAUGGUUUUUAAAUCAGAGCAAUUUAGUUUGACAAUUUAAUUUAGCUAACUAAAUAUUAGUAUAAUAUUUAUGUCACGUGAUAUAACAACGUAAUUAUUGUUGCAAUAUUUGUAACAAUACUUUUACAUCACUUAUAUAUUAAUAAUUUAUUAAUAUUGAACGAACUAUGUACUUGUUUUGGACAUGUAGUGCAGAAAGUUGAGCUAAAAAUUAAAUGAAUUGAAAUUUAAGAAUCAAAGUGUCGUGCGAUUCAUAGAUUGAGGAUCAAAAGUGUAAUUUAUUUUUAAAACAAUGUAAUGCCUCUUAUAUAUUUUAAAAAAUAUUGAAUAAUCAUAUUAAAUAUUAUACAAGGUAUAUAGAGACAACUCCUCAUUUAGAAGUUUCUUAAAAGGAAAUGAUAAUUUAUUUGUAUAAAUUAUCGAAAGGAAAUGUGUGAUUUUAUGUCGUUUAUUUUGGUAAUGGUUCUCAAAAUGAUGUUCGAUUAACAAAUCGGGUGUUUAUUUUUGUAUGUGAUAUAAUUUUACUUAAAAUAAAUCAAAAGGACGAAAUGGAAUAAUUCUAUUAUUUAUAAUUUAUAUUUGAAAUGAAUCAUCAAGCUAAAAAAAAAACUCCCUUGCUGUUGACCAUGAAAUUAAGCCCAUUCACACACUAUAAUUUGCCAAAAAGAAAAAAGCGAAAUAAAAAAUAUGCAGCUAAUCGACUUUAAAAUUUUAAAAUAAUGUGUAAUCAAUCGUGUCGAAUAAUCAAUAAAAUAAAAAAAAAAACACAAACCCGAAACCAAAUUAAAUGUCUACCAAAAAGAAAAAAUCAAAUAUUAAUAUGUAAAACAUUGACAUGUUACUAAACAAAAUGCAUUAUUAUAUUACGAUCUAAUGGCUCAAGAGUGUGUGCGAAUCUUGGUGUAGAGCCUUUAAAUCAAGAGGGCGUAUAUGCAUAUAUAUAUAGAUUUGCAUAGUUUUUAAUAAUUUUAUUUUAAUUUCAAUUUAGAGUGACAAAAAUUAUAGUUAAGCCCAUAAGCAGAUGAAAUACUCGAAUCGAUGAUAUAUAUAGUUGAAACUGAUCCAGAACAUUCGACACAUCUAAAAUAAAAUUUUAAUAUUUUUUAAUUUGUUUUUUAUAUGGGAAAUGAAUUUUCUCCAAAUGCGCGUUGUGCAUAUAUUCAGGGACGAAACCAGAAAUUAAGAUUUGGGGGGGCCAAAAUUUAAAUUUGAUAGGAAAAAAAUUCGAUCUCGGAUAAUAAGAAAAAAAAAUUGUCAGAUUCACUGAUAACGACAAUAUGCUAAGAAAAAAACAAAACUAUAAGAGUUGAAGGAAAAUGACUAAGAAAUUCGAAAAAAAAAAAAUCAAGACACAAAUUUUGUUAAAAAAUUAAUUUGACCCCCUAAAAUUAAAAUUUAUUAUAUUUUAAUUUUUAUUAUAAAGAACUUUUAUAUUAUUUUAAAAAAUUUAGGGGGUCCAUGGCCACUGUGGCCCCUCAAUAGCUCCGUCCCUGCAUAUAUUUGUAUGUUAGUUAAUUUUCUUGCUCAUUAGCAUUGAAAUGAAUUCACACUGCUAUACAAAAAAAAAAAAAACUCCAAUUUUUUUUUUUUUUUUUUUUUAAAAACAGUAAGUCUAACAUACAGCCAAUCACCACCCAGUCCAACUCUUUCUUGGAACAAUCCAAACAUCUCCAAGGAGGCCCCUUUCACUUCCCCAAUUCCCACCCGCCCCAUAAACAUCAUUUUGCCCUAACAUGUCAUGCCACUGCACAAACUCUUGCAUGAACCAGGUCCACCACAUACUUCAUGGACUGUUUGAUAACCUACCAUUUAUCUACUCCCCCUCCACCACCCUAAAAGUAAAAUGUCCGGCAACCAUCUUGAGGUAUGCGAUUCUACAUGUGUGUACAUUAAUUUGGAGUUCGAGCUUCAAACAAAUAAUUUUUAUAAAUAAGAAAUUAUAAAUAUUUUUGAAUUUUAAAAUUAAAUGUAAAACAUCUUAGUAGAUAUUUUCUAAAACAACAAAUACAAAAGUUCACACAAUGUAUAUUUAAAUAUAGGAACAAUUAUUUAUAUACUCCUGAAAAAGUACCUGACUUUUCGAUUUACCCCUCUUAGAAGGCUAAUAUUGAAAAUAUCCUCUUUAUGUUCCAACCUAUUUCUAAUAUACUCCUGGAGUUAAAAUCUGUUAAUGAACUCUGUUAACAAUAUAAAAUUACUAUUUUGCCUUUUCAAAUAUACCCUUUCACCGUAACUGACUUUUGUAUUUGCCCUUAAAGUCAGGGGCACAAAAAGUAUUUUGACUUUUCGUCUUUUCAAAUAUGCCUCUUUAUCUUUAUCAACAUUUUUUAUUUGCCCUUUAAGUUAAGAAUAAAAUUGGCAUUUUAAUUUUUUUUUAACUGUGAUAGAUAUUUAACUCACGUUUAACCCAAGUUAACUUAAUAGGAGAUAACUGCGGAGGUAUUUUAUAAUAACGGUGGAACAUAUAAGGAAUAUUUUAGAAAAAAAAAAGAAUAAAUCGAAUAUUUUAAACAUAUGAGAGGUAUAUAGAGUCAAUUAUUCCUUAAUAAAUAUAUAUAUACACACACAUAUGUAUUAUAAGCUAAUGUGGUAGACUAAGUCCAGAGAUCAAAAUCUGUGUCCCUCCUGCCCAGCCGGCGUUUCAUUUCUUUCCCAAUAAACAAAUCAAAUAAUAAAAAACUCACUCCAGGGAGAAGAAAGCAGCAGCAGGACGAAACCAAGCAAAAAAAAGAAACAUCCAAACCCAUUCAAUUCAACCCCCGUUCUCACAGCUGUUCUCCUCUUUCUACCCUGCUUCCCCAUCUUCCUCCUACGCGUUUUCUUCUUCUUCUCCUUCUUCUUCUUCUUCUUCUCUCCUUACCCUCCACCCACAUUAUCCCCCAAGACACAGACAUUAGAGUAGAACUAUAUAGAGAAAUUAAUAGAUAGAGAAGAAGCAAUCGAAAGAGAAGAGAUAAUAAGAGAUACGAUGAUGGGUUCGCACCUACUGUUAGGACUCCUGGUGCUCGUGCUCGUCGUGGUCUGUGCGCAGCGAUCUGAUUCGUCUCCGACCCGGCGUCGCAGCCCUACUCCUUCCACGCGACGGCCACCGUCCUCAACUCCGGCACCACCCCGCUCAAGUCCUGGUCCCUCCUCGUCGCCUUCCGCCACGGCGAGAUCCUCGUCUCCGCCUCCGGCGCCGUCCUCACCGACGCCUCCGACUUCCCCUACAACACCUCUGGCGACGCCACGACCUCCUUCUCCGGCUACCCGAACCCCGACCUCCUCACCCCGAUCGCCACCGCCGGCGACCUCUCCCUCAUCCAGGCCCAGAUCGACCUCGUCGGCACCCUCUUCGCCCCCGCUCCCCCCUACGCCCCGCUCCCCGCCUCCCUCUCCCUCGCCGACCCCUCCUUCCUCUGUCCUCCCCCCUCCCCCGCCUCCAACGCCUCCACCCUCAUCUCCACCUGCUGCGUCCCCGACCCCUCCUUCUCCCCCAACGCCACCGACGCCGCCGCGCUCGCCAACUCCACCACGAGCUUCCUCCCCCGCCGCGCCGGCGACCUCACCAUCUCCUACGACGUCCUCCAGGCCUACCCCUCGUCCUACCUCGCGCUGGUGACCAUCGAGAACCACAACCCCCUCGCCCGCCUGGACAACUGGCGGCUCUCCUGGGAGUGGAAGCGCCAGGAGUUCAUCUACUCCCUGAAGGGCGCCUACCCGCUGGAGGUCGACGCCACCGGCUGCGUCUACGGCCCCCAGGGCCAGUACUACCAGGACCUCGACUUCUCCAAAGUGCUCAACUGCCAGCGGAGCCCCGUCGUCCUCGACCUCCCGCUGUCGCGCUACAACGACUCCCAGCUCGGCCUCAUCCCCCACUGCUGCCGCAACGGCACCAUCCUGCCCAAGUCCAUGGAUCCCUCGCAGUCCGUCUCCGCCUUCCAGAUGCAGGUCUUCAAGAUGCCACCGGACGUCAACCGCACCGUGCUCUACCCCCCGGCCGCCUGGAAGAUCGCCGGCGGCUCCGACCUCAACCCGGACUACGCCUGCGGCCCCGCCGUCCGCGUCGCCCCCGCCGAGUUCCCCGACCCCAGCGGCCUCGAGUCCAACACCUCCGCCAUCGCCUCCUGGCAGGUCGUCUGCAACAUCUCCGCGCCCAGAGGCUCCAAGCCCAAGUGCUGCGUCUCCUUCUCCGCCUUCUACAACGACUCCGUCGUCCCCUGCGGCACCUGCGCCUGCGGCUGCCCCGCCGCCCGCACCUGCAACGCCUCCGCCCCGCCGCUGCUCCUCCCCUCCGAGGCGCUCCUCGUCCCCUUCGACAACCGCACCGCCAAGGCGCUCGCCUGGGCCGAGCUCAAGCACUUCGCCGUGCCCAAUCCGCUCCCCUGCGGCGACAACUGCGGCGUCAGCAUCAACUGGCACCUCUACACCGACUACGCCAAGGGGUGGAGCGCGCGGAUCACCCUCUUCAACUGGGAGAGCGUCGACCUCCCCAAUUGGUUCGCCGCCGUCGUGAUGGACCAGGCCUACGACGGCUACGAGACGAUGUACUCGUUCAACGGCACCCGGGUCGGGGACCACACCAUCUUCAUGCAGGGGAACGAGGGCUUGAACUACCUCGUCGGCGAGACGAACGGAACCGACCCCUCCGAGGAUCCCAGAGUGCCCGGGAAGCAGCAGUCGGUGAUCUCCUUCACGAAGAAGCCGACCCCCGGGAUCAAUGUGGUCGCCGGGGACGGUUUCCCCUCCAAGGUUUACUUCAACGGCGACGAGUGUUCGAUGCCCGCUAGCAUUCCUACGAGCAAGGGCCUCCGGACUAUCGCCACCACCGGCAUCUUCAAUUUGGUAUACGUUCUCGGCGUUUCGGCUCUUUUGCUGUUCCGAGUAUAGAUCUGAGAUCAGCAGCUGCUGCUGCUGCUGCUAAAUUUUUUGAUUCUUUCGAUAUUUUUGUGCCGAUGGUUUGCGCCAAAUUGUGGGUUUGGUGUGCCAGUUUGUGAUGAGCACAAAAUUAAGCACUAAAACAUAUACUGGAUGAAGAGCUGAGAACUGAGUUUGAAUACCUGCUUAUUAGAUGUAAUUUUUGUUGAUUCACUCCUCUUAGACUCUGCAAUGUUUGAUAUGCUCCCUCCCAAGUUAAUGUCAUCUUUUAUACUCAUAGAUACAAUGUAAUAUACUAUAUAGUUCGCUUUGCCCCCUCAAACUCUCUGCGUUUGCUAUGUCUAGUUUGGUUAUCUUCUUAUUUACUGAACAAUUUUCCGAUUCAUCGUGAGUUUUUUCAAACAAAUUUGUGCGCUAUCUUUACAGCAAAUAUAUGAUUAGUACCAUUUUGUGCCUCACAUUUCUUGUAUUUCGAUUCAUCGGAUUCUCAUUGUUGUACAUAACUCUUCAAGAUUGAGUCUACUGUUGGCUUGUUAUUUACCUGGUUCUUAUCUUUAGAUUUCGUAAAUAAAAUACAUUAGCUUCAUCACAGAUGUUCGAUAUUCUGUAAUUGUUAUUGUCGAGACAUUGUGGAGUUGGAAAUUUGACCCUGCUGUUCUUCGAGAGAUAUCGGACUUGAGCAAUUGAAAAUUGGUAUCGAAUUGUUCAAAAUAUAUCACUUACUAACAGUUCGAACUCUUCCUUUAUUUUAGCUUUGGAUACAUUCUAAGAGUCACGCAUUCGGACGGCAAUUUCUACUCACACCACAAAGGCGUGUGUUUGUGUUUCUGUGUUUUUGAAGUAAACAUUCUAUUACUCUAUCAUUUUGAACUUCUAAUCCUUUCAUUAAACUCGAGUUUCUCGGUGAGACUGCAGUAAAUACAAACUAAAUCAUGAGAAGAGGAUGCUGUUUCAGUUCCAUCAAAUUUUCCCCAUCACAAGUUGUUGCUGCUACAAGAUGUGAUGUUUUCAUAGACCAAGUUAACAUUUACAUUAGCACUACUUAGAAAUGUAUGCAAAGAACAGGUCAAAAUUGACUCAUUGAAAAUAACAACCACCUCUUUGGAGGUAAUCAAACAUGCAUUAGGAAGAACAAGUCAAUUGAACUAUCUUGUACUUUUUUUGUUUCAUCUCAAGUUAUUUAUUUGUGAGGCAAGUUGACUCUGAGGAUUUGAAAUUUCGAUCUUUUGAAGUGAAGGUUUCUUUUGCUCCUUUGAUAAAAAAAAAAUCUCUUUUGCUGAUUAAGGGAAAGUUACACUUUAGGUCCUCAAACCAUGAGGCAUGUGAUAUUCUAAUUUCUAACUCGAACUUUCCGAAUUGUUAUAUCAAGUCUCACGAUCUAAUUUAGUUGGUUAAAUAUUAAUGAACUACUGAUGUAAAAGUGAUACAAUAGUAUUGUAAUUGAUGAUAUCAUAAUAUUAUAUUACUUCCUACAUCAAUGAGUCAUCAAUAAUAUUCAGCCAAAUAUAUUGAAUAGUGAGACUUAAUUAUAACAAUUCAUAAAAUUCGAGUCAGAAAUUACCACGAAUUAAAAUUUGAGGACCAAAGUGUCACACAACUCAUAGUUUGAGGACCAAAAUUGUAGUUUACCCUUACAUUAAUGAACUUCAAGAAAAUACAAAAUGGGACAUUUAGGUUCUCCAAAUCUGCAAGAAGACAUUUAAAAAAAAAAAAAAAAAAACUUAUUUGCAGAUUCCAACUUAGCUUAUUUCCCCUUUUGCUUUUCUGGGACACAGGAACUAAACAUACAAAUUUAGAAUGGAUCUCAUAGUAUGAUAGCUAAAGAUUUUUUUUUUUUUUUUUUUUGUUGUAAAAAAAUCCUACACACACCAACUUCCCUACCCCUCUGGAAUUGAAAAGCCCAUGUGCAAAAGUGCUUCCCACGAUAGAGAAAAGUCAAAUUAUUUUUAUCAUGGUGUGUUUGCCAUUUCAAGUUUUCUAAGAAUAAAAGCUUAUUUGCUAUAAAACUUGAGGCUAUUUUGUUUAAUGCAGAGAUUCUUAUAAAAUUGUUGUUUGAAUCUCAGUAGUUUCUUUUUUUAAUGGAAGUCACUUGGACAGCUUUUCACUACAGUAGAAAUAGAAGCUUUAUACUAAAAAUUUAAAUUUUAAAGCCAACAUUUUAGUUACCGAACCAUGUAACCGCAAAUAAACAGUCAUAGUUAGUUACAAGAGCAUCAUCAAUAAAAAAGGAAUGCAUAUGAAAUUCUCCCUAUAAAACAACAUGUUUUGUCAUGAGACACUUUGAAUUUGAAAAGAAAAAGAAGAAGUUUUCAUCUUUGACAAAACCCUCUUCAAAAAAGAUCAUCAAAAAGCUAUAAUUGCUCCAAAAAAUUUGUGAAUUUCCAAGGAAUAGAGCUUUUUAGACUUGGUAUCAAAUUUCUCUUAGUUUAGAUAAUCAUCAUCUCAACAAACAAGGAAUAUAUGCAGCAGCAAUUACGAAACCGGAGUCCAAGCCAAAUUUUUCUAAAAAAAAAUAGAUAAAAUCCGCCAUUUAUCCACAAAAAUGGGACCAACUUUUUACAUUGAGUUUUAUCACUGCUACUAAAAGAAGCAACAACAUCAGAUUCAAGCAAUACUCUGUCUAAAGACUCCGACCGCUGAACCUGUUACAGCUAUAAAAUUCAGUGAUUUCACUAAACGCGAUUAGUUACAUCUAUUUUGGUUGUGGAAGCUAAAAUAUUUAUCACAAAUAUAUCGGCGAAGCGUCUUGAUGCUGCCUGGACAUUUCAAUUAGAUGCUGUGAAAUUUCAGCAAAAUCGUCAGAAAGAAUGCUUAGGGUCUGCUUCUCCUUCCUCCUGCUGUAGGAAAAAUAAAGAUUCAUACAAGUAAUCAAUAGAUUAGAAUUGAAUAAUAUUUACAUAAAUAUAAAUUUCUUUAUAAGAAAAACAAUCAAUUAUGCAACUUGUUGUACAAAUCGAUCUUUACUAUGACAGUGAGUGUUAAAAAA
rnacentral:lncRNA from 1 species